ensembl:lncRNA
CCAACUUUCGUCUGACUGACUCCCCUCAUGAACAAAGGAUGUGAACAGCAGGUGGGUGGUUGCAUCUGUGCUUGCAGCCAAAGCUGUACACUCCCCUGAAGCAUGAAUCAUGCUUCUUUUUUUUCAAUAAAUACCAUCAAAGUGACUCAAAUGAAAAGUAGGGGUAUGCUUGAAAAAUCUCUGAUUGUCCAACGUGCAUUCUUGUGCAAGAUAAUGAACCCCAAGUUACACCCAAAGUGUGUGUGUGUGUGUGUCUGUUAUAUCUUUGUGGGGACCAAAUGUUUGAAGUUUACUAUACUUAUGGGAACCAAAAUCCUGGUCCCCAUAAGUUUGAAGGCAUUUUUGAGACUUAAAAUGUGGUUUUGGUGUCAGGGUCACAAUUGGGUUAUAGUUAGGUAUAAGGAUGAUGUCUCUUAGUUCUCUUUCAUUAAAGCUUUAGUGCACGGUCCUAGGGGCCGACUGGAUCAUCCAAACUAUCCCUUAAGUCUCCUGUUCAGCUGUUCUGCUCCUCUCCUCCCUCCCUCCCUCCCUCGUAGGUCAUCUUUGGGGUUCCACUGUAGUCACUCCCAUCUGACUAAUUGGUCCACAUGAUAAGUUAUUGUGAAGCUCUUAAAGUUUUGGGCUAUCAGAAAGAGUGGUCUAUGAAAGAAAAAAAAAAAAAAUUCAAAAUAUAUUCUAUUAUAACCCAAAAGGUAGACCGAUCCCCCUACACCUCUGUGGAGAGGAUUUAGCCUCCACAGAACAGUGUUUUGUGCUCUUGAAUCAAUUGUGAGAUCAUCCACUUGUUGUUAGUAUUUACAACAAUCCACACAAUUUCAUGUUAGUUGUGAUUCACACUGCUUUCACACUUCUAUAAUACACAUGCACCAGUGCAGGGAGAUCUGUCUUACCUGUUUGGUACAAUUAUUUUGAUAUAUUUUAUAAUAUUAUUCUAAUAUUCUUACUACAAAAUGAAUUAUAAAAAAGAAUACAAAAAUAAUAGAGCCUUGUUUAAUUUUUUUGUGCAAUUUAAGUGCAGUUUGUUGGCUUAGCAAUACAUCGCUGUUCUUCCUCAACUCUCGGCUGCCACUUUCUCUCAUCCUAACACCGCCGAUCCUUGACAUACGGUGUGAAAAACUCUUCCAAGGUCUCUAUUCCGUCUUUCCCUCCUCUUUCCUAUCCACACCUCUUCAUAAAAAAAGAAAAAACAGGGUUUCUUCCAAAAGUACUGUGUGAAUGUGGGUUGUACUGUAGAGUGCUCUGAGAAAUCAAUAAGAGUGGAAAAGAUAAGUAAAGGUAUAAAUGCAACCUGUUUGUAAAAUACUUUAUGGGUUCAGUCUAUAAGUUAGCGUUUUAUUAAUGCCUGGCUGCAUGUUGGGCUCCCUGAGUGCUACUGCGACAGUCAAACCACAAAGACAAACCUCAUAAAUGAAAAAUUUGAGUAACAAGUCUUUAACUUCUUCAACAAUCAAAUUAAACCCAAAACAAUCUGAGAAACAGUUACGCACUUCUGAAUUAAUCAAAAUGGACAAUAAAGUUUUCAUAAGCAUUUCUUAUUUUACUCGCUUCUAUCAAAUGUGAACAGUCUU